CCAGUAGCUUAAUUGGCAGAGCACCGGUCUCCAAAACCGAAGGUUGGUGGUUCGAUUCCAUCCUGGUUGGCCA
rnacentral:tRNA from 1 species